CAGCCGCCACGGGAAUACGUAGGGUCCGAGCGUUGUCCGGAAUUAUUGGGCGUAAAGGGCUCGUAGGCGGUUUGUUGCGUCGGGAGUGAAAACCCAGGGCUUAACUUUGGGCUUGCUUUCGAUACGGGCAGACUUGAGGCAUUGAGGGGAGAACGGAAUUCCUGGUGUAGCGGUGAAAUGCGCAGAUAUCAGGAGGAACACCGGUGGCGAAGGCGGUUCUCUGGCAAUGUUCUGACGCUGAGGAGCGAAAGUGUGGGGAGCGAACAGGAUUAGAUACCCCAGUAGUCCCUGUCUCUUAUAC
rnacentral:rRNA from 1 species